rnacentral:rRNA from 1 species
GGCGAACGCUGGCGGCAGGCCUAACACAUGCAAGUCGAGCGCCCCGCAAGGGGAGCGGCAGACGGGAGAGUAACACGUGGGAACGUACCCUUUGGUUCGGAACAACCCAGGGAAACUUGGGCUAAUACCGGAUAAGCCCUUACGGGGAAAGAUUCAUCGCCGAAGGAUCGGCCCGCGUCUGAUUAGCUAGUUGGUGGGGUAACGGCCCACCAAGGCGACGAUCAGUAGCUGGUCUGAGAGGAUGAUCAGCCUCACUGGGACUGAGACACGGCCCAGACUCCUACGGGAGGCAGCAGUGGGGAAUAUUGGACAAUGGGCGCAAGCCUGAUCCAGCCAUGCCGCGUGGGUGAUGAAGGCCCUAGGGUUGUAAAGCCCUUUCGGCGGGGAAGAUAAUGACGGUACCCGCAGAAGAAGCCCCGGCUAACUUCGUGCCAGCCGCCGCGGUAAAAC